rnacentral:sRNA from 1 species
CCCCCUUCCUUGGAGCGCUGCGACACGGGCUGAGGGAGCUCGGGCCAAUCAGAGGGACGGCCCCAGAAUGGCAUGGUGAUGGAACGCAGCUGAGAGGUGCCCAAUUACCUGCCCUCGGUGAGCUCAGCCAUCGGUGGGGAGGUGCCCCAGCGCUACGUGUGGCGUUUCUGCAUCGGCCUGCACUCGGCGCCUCGCUUCUUGGUGGCCUUCGCCUACUGGAACCACUACCUCAGCUGUACCUCCCCGUGUUCCUGCUAUCGCCCGCUCUGCCGCCUCAACUUCGGCCUCAAUGUCGUGGAGAACCUCGCGUUGCUAGUGCUCACUUAUGUCUCCUCCUCUGAGGACUUCAGUGGGUGCCCGGAUGAGGGAGGAGUGGGGAAGGGUUCCCUGAGGGGACGGGCCUGCCCCUACCACUUUCGGACCUUCCUACUUAGUGGUGUGGGCACUCCCUGCAAUGUGGCUCCCAAUCCUCUUUCCCUCCAGCCGUCCAUGAAAAUGCUUUCAUUGUGUUCAUUGCCUCAUCCCUCGGGCACAUGCUCCUCACCUGCAUUCUCUGGCGGUUGACCAAGAAGCACACAGUAAGUCAGGAGGUACGGUCUAUCCCUAGCGGGGGCUCCAAGUCAGCCCAGAAGAAAAUCAAGGACAUCUGUCCUCAGGAUUCGGGUAAUGGUGAGGUGGGAACUGAGUUCUAAUGGGAACCCUGGCAGAGGGGUGCUGGGGUUGGGGCUGGGGCUUGGGAACAAACUGAGGGUGGUUGGUCAGAAUCUAGGACUAUAGCACUGUGUUUGGGUAGUGUGGGAGACUGGAGAAUAGAAAAGAUGGAGGCUGCAAAUGGGGAUAGAAUGAGGAGUCGCAUCUAGGCGGCAGUGAGGAACAGUGUCAGAGGACUGGUCUGUCAUAAUUCCAGCGUCCCACCCAUGUACAUGGGUUUCUUUUCCCCCACAGUAUUUGGAAGUG